GACGAACGCUGGCGGCGUGCUUAAUACAUGCAAGUCAACUUGACUUUAGAUAGCAAUAUCGAAAAGUAGGGUGGCGCACGGGUGCGUAACGCGUAGGUAAUCUGCCCUGAGGUCUGACAUAACCCGUCGAAAGGCGGGCUAACAUCAGAUGAUAUAUAAUCACGACAUCGUGGAAAUAUCAAAUCUUCGGAGCCUUGGGAUGAGCCUGCGUCUGAUUAGGUAGUUGGCGGAGUAAUAGCCCACCAAGCCUACGAUCAGUAGCUGGUCUGAGAGGAUGAUCAGCCACACUGGAACUGAGACACGGUCCAGACUCCUACGGGAGGCAGCGGUAAGGAAUAUUGCUCAAUGGGGGAAACCCUGAAGCAGCAACGCCGCGUGAAGGAUGAAAUACUUUUGUAUGUAAACUUCUGUAAGAUGGGAAAAAUAUUCUCCUCGGGAGAAUUGAUUGUACCAUCAGAGUAAGCCCCGGCUAACUACGUGCCAGCAGCCGCGG
rnacentral:rRNA from 1 species